UUGGAGGGCAAGUCUGGUGCCAGCAGCCGCGGUAAUUCCAGCUCCAAUAGCGUAUAUUAAAGUUGUUGCAGUUAAAAAGCUCGUAGUUGAAUUUUAGGCCUGGCCGGGCGGUCCGUCUUUGGCGAGUACUGUCUUGUUGUCGGGUCUUCCUUCUGGUGAACCAGUAUGUUCUUUAUUGGGUGUGUUGGGGAGCCAGGACCAUUACCUUGAAAAAAUUAGAGUGUUCAAAGCAGGCUUUUGCUCGAAUACAUUAGCAUGGAAUAAUGAAAUAGGACGCGUGGUGCUAUUUUGUUGGUUUCUAGAACCGCCGUAAUGAUUAAUAGGGAUAGUUGGGGGCAUUAGUAUUCAAUUGUCAGAGGUGAAAUUCUUGGAUUUAUUGAAGACUAACUACUGCGAAAGCAUUUGCCAAGGAUGUUUUCAUUAAUCAAGAACGAAAGUUAGGGGAUCGAAGACGAUCAGAUACCGUCGUAGUCUUAACCAUAAACUAUGCCGACUAGGGAUCGGACGAUGUUAAUUUUUUAAUGACUCGUUCGGCGCCUUACGGGAAAC
rnacentral:rRNA from 1 species